AUGUAAAAUUAGCUAAAUGAAACAACUGUUUUCUCACAUUUAGCUAUAUGUGACGAAGUCUAAAUGUAAAUGUAAAUAAUAAAUAUUAAAUAUAAAUGUAAAUGUUAUAUGUCUCGCCGAGUGUAAACUGAAUAUUCAUUAAUAUGCUAAUGAGCUCCCCCGCCUCACCCUCAAACAGUGCUGAUCCUGAAUCAGUGACGCUGACUCAGACACCUGAAACCGUGCGCAAAGCCCCGCCCACACCUGACUCGCGGUCAGUCGCCCAAGCUGGAGGGAAAGCCUGAGUGACUUUAAUCCAACAUGGCCGCCAGCCCCGGGUCCGUCCCGUUGGCAGAGAUAGAACGGGUGGUAACGGCAGGUGUACGGGCUGCGCUUCAGGCCGCUGUUCCCCAGCCACUACACGCUCCUCUAAUGCUGCAUUCACAGCCGUACUGUUCCUAAUGCCCUUCUCAGCAGAGACUUUGGGCCUCUGCUCUGUGAGGAAGAGCAUGAAGGCGUUCCUGGGCUUCCUGAUGUACGGCUGUGACGAUGGCUGGCCAUCAAGGUCUUCUCUUUCUACAGGGACAAAACAGGAACAAAAGUGAGGAGACCAAUGUGUGCGUGAGCGUGGACACAAGUAGGCUACAUUAUGACAUUAAAUACGAUCAUGAUUCAUCAUGAUUAGUCACAUAUUGUCCAAAAGCAGCAUCAGCAACUUACCUUGAUGUGGUGGGGAGGGGAGGAGCAGCAGCAGGAGGAGGAAGAGGAGGCUCAGGAGACACAGAUGUCCAUGUUGGACAGCAGCAGCCAUGUUUAAUCAUACUUUGUUUGUGUGAUUUACUUACGGUUCAAUAACAGAAACCAGGACCACGUUGUCCGGCAGCUUCACCACUGGAAGUUGAACCUGAGGACACAAAUGUGGAGCUGCAGGUGGGCGUCCGGUGCAGCAGGCACAGGAGGAGGAGGAAGGGGGUCGACUGCACCAUCUGGAAACAGAUCCUGAAUCACUGCUUCAGGAGUGGAAACAGCCUCCGCCCACUCCAUCUCCUGCACCAUGCUGUCCAGUACAGGCUAGAGGUCCAUUUCAAACUGUGCAGGUUGUUAACGUCACCAAGAGCUCUACCGUCUCUACAGUCCCUGGGUCUCUGGUCUCUGUCACGCAGAGUGGAGUUCGGCACAAUACCCGCAGACACACACACAGGGUAUGUGCAUAAAUGUGCGAUGAAGUUGCACUUAUCACUCACUACUGUUGGUACUGACCAAGAAACUGACUGUAUGAAGAACGUUGCUCAGAUGUUAAGCUCCUCUGCAGCUGUGUUUUAUCCUUCUACCUCUCUGAUACUUGCACUGUUGCACUGUUGCACUGAUGCUGUUCUCCGCGUUACUCCAGAAACGGCGUCAUCAAAGGUACACCAAAGGUAUACCUUUGAUGACAUCACUGUUAUUUAAAAAAUGCAGAUCAUUAUAUUAAAAGCAUUCAUCUGUUUCAAGUCUAAGUCAUGGAAACCAAGUCAAAGUCGAGUCUUUUAUCAGUGUUAGUCAAGCAGGUCUCAAGUCCUCAAAUUUGAUUUGUGUGUUGAAUAGAUUUUUGGCGGGGAAAUGUAAGUGCUGCCUCCUGUAAUUGGAAGACAGUUGUUUGGCCAUGUGGACAGUCUGGUUCGGGGUGCGAUUGUUAGAAUUGGAACUUUCCCUUGUAGGCAGUAGGAACGUUUCUCCUUUUGGGAUUCGUUCGGGGGACUUUGUAGUGUUGCGGUGAAAGCGGUUCGAGCAGUUGUCUCGGGAGCACGUCACUAGAAGUUGGGGGGUCGCUGUUGUACAGUUGCCUUUCUCACUCUAGUGGUUCCUAGUGCAUAAAUACCCACUGUCAGUAGCCGCAUGAAGACUAGGGGAGAGCUUAGCAAGUUUUUGGCUAGGUAGUUAGCGGGAUUGUUUCAAUUCAUUGUGCAUCUCAGCAGUCAUUAAUGUGCUGUCAUGGCCACAGUUUCACAAUUAAACAAACUUGUCGUUGGCUGUCUGCUUUAUGGUUACACUAUUUGUUCUGUUGUAAAGAUGGCUUCCCUAUAUAAGUCUGAUUUAUCAGCAAAUAAAGAGGAUUUUUUAAAUUUAUGAACA
ensembl:lncRNA